UACAGAGGUCCCAAGCGUUGUUCGGAUUCACUGGGCGUAAAGGGUGCGUAGGCGGUCGGGUAAGUCUGACGUGAAAUCUUCAAGCUCAACUUGGAAACUGCGUCGGAUACUAUUCGGCUAUAGGAAUGGAGGGGAGACUGGAAUACUUGGUGUAGCAGUGAAAUGCGUAGAUAUCAAGUGGAACACCAGUGGCGAAGGCGAGUCUCUGGACAUUUCCUGACGCUGAGGCACGAAAGCCAGGGGAGCAAACGGG
rnacentral:rRNA from 1 species